CACAGCCGGGGCAUGUGCCUGGCAGACAGAGGGCAAAAUCAGGAGGACUGAGAUCUCUGGAUGAUUCUGGUUGUACUUUUAACAUAGUAAGUGGAGAGGAGAAAAUAGCAAGUUCAGUUUUGGACAAGUCUUCUUGAAAAAUGAGAAUGAGUCACUCUGGAAAGCUCCUGCCUGGAGGAAACCGCAGAUGCCACUUCUGUGGGGUCAAUUGUUCCCCUGCAGCAUGACAAACGAGUACUCAAACUUUCCUUUAGGAAAUGAGCAGUGCUUACUGCCUACUGUCAAAAAUAUAUUGGAAAUGGGCCCUCCCUGGUGGCGCAGCAGGUUAAAG